rnacentral:rRNA from 1 species
GACAGAGGGUGCAAGCGUUGUUCGGAAUCACUGGGCGUAAAGCGCACGUAGGCGGCUUUCUAAGUCAGGGGUGAAAUCCUGGAGCUCAACUCCAGAACUGCCUUUGAUACUGGAGAGCUUGAGUCCGGGAGAGGUGAGUGGAACUCCGAGUGUAGAGGUGAAAUUCGUAGAUAUUCGGAAGAACACCAGUGGCGAAGGCGGCUCACUGGCCCGGUACUGACGCUGAUGUGCGAAAGCGUGGGGAGCAAACAGG